CAUUAAGAAGCUAUGCAACAGCACUAGCCUUUUAAGCUAGAAAAAGAGGACACCAUUUACCUCCUUAAUGA
rnacentral:tRNA from 1 species